rnacentral:rRNA from 1 species
AAUACGAGACGCUAAGGCGUCGGAGUAGUGUAUGUCAUACUUCCAAGAAAAGCUUGCACUGUCAUAAGUAAAAAAUGCCUGUACCAUAACCGACACAGGUGGGUAGGUAGAGUAUACUAAGGGGCGCGAGAUAACUCUCUCUAAGGAACUCGGCAAAAUAACUCCGUAACUUCGGGAGAAGGAGUACCUUAUUCUAUAAGGUUGCAAUAACAAGAUCCAAGCAACUGUUUAUCAAAAACACAGGUCUCCGCUAAGUCGUAAGACGAUGUAUGGGGGCUGACGCCUGCCCAGUGCCAGAAGGUUAAAGAAGUCGGUUAGCAUUAGCGAAGCUGGUAACUGAAGCCCUGGUGAACGGCGGCCGUAACGAUAACGGUCCUAAGGUAGCGAAAUUCCUUGUCGGGUAAGUUCCGACCCGCACGAAAGGCGUAAUGAUUUGGAUACUGUCUCGGAGAGGGGCUCCGUGAAAUAGACUUGUCUGUGAAGAUGCGGACUACCUGCACCAGGACAGAAAGACCCUAUGAAGCUUUACUGUAACUUGAAAUUGAAAUUGGACUUUAUUCGCGCAGUAUAGGUGGGAGGUGUUGAUUAUAAUCUUGCGGGAUUAUUGGAGCCAUCAGUGAGAUACCACUCUUGUAAUGUUAGAUUUCUAACUUUGAAUCAUUAUCUGGUCAAAGGACAGUUUCAGGCGGGCAGUUUGACUGGGGCGGUCGCCUCCCAAACGGUAACGGAGGCGUACAAAGGUUUCCUCUGAACGGGUAGAAAUCGUAUCUAGAGUGUAAAGGCAUAAGGAAGCUUGACUGUGAGACCUACAAGUCGAACAGGGACGAAAGUCGGUCUUAGUGAUCUGACGGUACUGAGUGGAAAGGCCGUCACUCAACGGAUAAAAGUUACUCUAAGGAUAACAGUCUGAUCUCCCCCAAGAGUUCACAUCGACGGGGAGGUUUGGCACCUCGAUGUCGGCUCAUCGCAUCCUGGGGCGGUAGUACGUCCCAAGGGUUGGGCUGUUCGCCCAUGAAAGCGGUACGCGAGCUGGGUUCAGAACGUCGUGAGACAGUUCGGUCCAUAUCCGGUGUAGGCGUUAGAAUAUUGAGAGGAGCCUUCUUUAGUACGAGAGGACCGAGAAGGACAUACCUCUGGUGUACCAGUUAUCGUGCCAACGGUAAACGCUGGGUAGCUAUGUAUGGAGUGGAUAACCGCUGAAAGCAUCUAAGUGGGAAGCCCACCUCAAGAUAAGUAUUCUCAUC